rnacentral:rRNA from 1 species
ACCCAAUCCUGACACAGGGAGGUAGUGACAAGAAAUAACAAUACAGGGCUUUCGUCUUGUAAUUGGAAUGAUGGUGAUGUACAACCUCACCAGAGUACCAAUUGGAGGGCAAGUCUGGUGCCAGCAGCCGCGGUAAUUCCAGCUCCAAUAGCGUAUAUUAAACUUGUUGCAGUUAAAAAGCUCGUAGUUGUAUUUCAGCCUCGCGUUUUUUCCCUGGUUUUGGGUCUUUUCGCUGGCUUUUUUUUUACUUUGAGAAAAUUAGAGUGUUUCAAGCAGACUUUUGUCUUGAAUACUUCAGCAUGGAAUAAUAGAGUAGGACCUUGGUUCUAUUUUGUUGGUUUUGAGCCUUGGUAAUGGUUAAUAGGAACGGUUGGGGGCAUUCGUAUUUAACUGUCAGAGGUGAAAUUCUUAGAUUUGUUAAAGACGAACCACUGCGAAAGCAUUUGC